UCACAGUUGUUCUCAAUUAUUUGGAUAUUUAAUUCACUCCUCUGAGUUUCCAGUUUACACCAAGCCAACCCCCCCAACACCACGGGCCCACCCGGGGGGUCCUGAUCCCUGCACACACCAGGUCAUCUCUGUUGGGCCCCGGCGCUCUGGCCCGCGCCGGUCUUGGGCCCCAGGGUAGCGGCCACUGCGGGCGGAGCAGAGGGAAACACCAGAGUCUGUGACUCCAGACAGGACCCACUGUGUCCUCUUGAACUUUGCACAGCGCGUGACGGGGGCAGACGGUGCACCGUGGCCCGGCCUUUCGCGGGGGUCCUCGGGGAAGAGAGAGGAGCGCGGGUUUCCUCGGAGGCCUGAGCGGGACGCAGCCUGCAGCCCCUCCCCGCACGGGCUGCCCCCGGCCCGCCGCUCGCGCCGCUCUGCUGGGAUCCGGCGCCUUCCCCGGCUGUCCUCGGCCUCCCGCGCGCUCCGCGGGAGGAGCCGCCAGCGGCCGUGACGCGUCAAGGAGGAAACGCCGGCGCCCGGCGGCCCUGCCGGGAAGGAGGAAGCGCAGUGCGUUCGGCUCCGCGCCCGCCGCGCCGGGAGCAGCACCGCGGGGCCAGAUGAAGAAACUGAGGCAUGGAAAUGUUAAAGUGCUUUAGCCUGGAUUGCACAGCAGGAAUCACAGUGAAAAGCAGUUUGGAAAUGUGGCUCAGAUCAUGCAAAGCUGUUGGAGAAACUAUCGCUGCUUUUUGUUGUAUUACUUUCUGGAUCUGUGUGAUUUCUGGUAAAAAUUGAUAGUAACAUAAAUUUAUUAAUGCUUUUUUUUCUUUUUCUUUCUUUUUUUUUUUUUUUUUUUUUACCAUUUUGAAAUGAUGUAUGGUGUGAUUGUUAGAGAUGGAUCAGCAUGAUUGGUCAUCUUGGUUUUUAAAGGAAGCCAGUGCUUGGCUUCAAAUAAUGCUAUGUGGAAUUUUAUUUAUGUGGUAUACCUUGCUUAAAAAUUGUAAAAAUUGUUAAAAUUGUGAAAACCAAAAUAAAUUUUCUUUCCACUUCUAUUAAAAUUUUC
rnacentral:lncRNA from 1 species